AAGGGAGAACAGAAAAUAGUAAGUACUGCUAAUCCUUAUCUACCAAGGUUAAAAUCCAUGGCUUCCUUG
rnacentral:tRNA from 1 species